UUGGGCGUAAGCGUGUGUAGGCGGUCUAUUAAGUCUGGCGUGAAAUUCCACAGCUUAACUGUGGAGGGUCGUUGGAAACUGGUAGGCUUGAGUACGGCAGAGGUAAGUGGAAUUCCAAGUGGAGCGGUGGAAUGCGUAGAUAUUUGGAGGAACACCAGUGGCGAAGGCGGCUUACUGGGCCGGAACUGACGCUGAGACACGAAAGCGUGGGGAGCAAACAGGAUUAGAUACCCUGGUAGUCCACGCUGUAAACGAUGAGCACUAAGUGUCGGAUGUAAAUUCGGCGCUGCAGUUAACACAGUAAGUGCUCCGCCUGGGGAGUACGGUCGCAAGACUGAAACUCAAAGGAAUUGACGGGGACUCGCACAAGCGGUGGAGCAUGCGGUUUAAUUCGAUGCAACGCGAAGAACCUUACCAGGUCUUGACAUCCCGCUGACAGCCCUAGAGAUAGGGUCUUCCUUCGGGACAGCGGAGACAGGUGGUGCAUGGUUGUCGUCAGCUCGUGUCGUGAGAUGUUGGGUUAAGUCCCGCAACGAGCGCAACCCUUAUCAUUAGUUGCUACCAUUAAGUUGAGCACUCUAAUGAGACCGCCGGUGACAAACCGGAUGAAGGUGGGGAUGACGUCAAAUC
rnacentral:rRNA from 1 species